AAAGAACAAACAACAUGUUGGUUGUCACAAAGAACUCAUCUCCUAGCAAGUUCAACUCUUGUUGGCAGCUUAUUGAGAAGAAGUCUUCAAUCAAACAACUGUGUUUUUCUUGGCACUUUAGAUUUCCAUAGGAUGCCCAAGUCAAAUAGGAUAUUUUCUUCCACCCUCAAACUUGUAUUACACAAGGCAGCCACUCUCAAGUAACUAUAUUUAACAGAGAAUCUAUUAACUAUU
rnacentral:lncRNA from 1 species